rnacentral:misc_RNA from 1 species
AAGUCGUAACAAGGUUUCCGUAGGUGAACCUGCGGAAGGAUCAUUAACACGUAUCCAAACGUAAAAAACCCCCCCCGUGAAUAUUAACCUGCUCUUGCAACCCGCGAAGCUUGCAAUCUCUGGUAAAUCAUAGCCCGGAAAGUAGUUUUGAUUCAGAGACCUCUGGCCCGUGAGAAAAUUGGAACAGUUGCAAUUUGAGCGGUAGUUCUAUAGGCCUUGUUUCCCCAAGCAAUCCGGUCUGAAAGUGUCACUGAUUGUGCAAGGAUAACGCUUCAACGAUUCCUGUAGACUAGGCCAAAGGGUCCCCAUGCCCCCUUACGACACUUGAAGUUUAAUGUGAAGCUCAAUGUAAGGGUUCUC